rnacentral:tRNA from 1 species
GGCGCUCUGGCCGAGUGGUUAAGGCGUUUGACUCGAAUGAUCUUUCUACAUCUUCAGCUAUCAAAUCCUUUCGGGGGCAAGAGUUCGAAUCUCUUGGGCGUCG